rnacentral:misc_RNA from 1 species
UACGGAGGAUCCAAGCGUUAUCCGGAUUCAUUGGGUUUAAAGGGUCCGCAGGCGGGAUAUUAAGUCAGUGGUGAAAGGCUGUCGCUUAACGAUAGCAUUGCCAUUGAUACUGGUAUUCUUGAGUAUAGUUGAGGUGGGCGGAAUAAGUCAUGUAGCGGUGAAAUGCAUAGAUAUGACUUAGAACACCAAUUGCGAAGGCAGCUCACUAAGCUAUUACUGACGCUCAGGGACGAAAGCGUGGGGAGCAAACAGG